rnacentral:lncRNA from 1 species
GCGAAGCCCUUUUCCCUAUUCCUGGAGCUGUGUUCCACCUGCCGCCUGGCACUCAGGCCCCACCCUUCCUGCUCUUGGUGCCUCAAGUAGUCUCCACCAACCCUGUGGUGUGGCCAGCCCCAUGCUGCUCAAGCUGCAGCAAAAGAGGAAGCAGACACUGCUCUCAAGAGUGUUGCAGCUUGAUCGGUAAAACAGCUACUUCUGUUGAAGAAUCUACCAGCCAUCGUGCCUCUUUGGAAACUCCUGAGGCUGAGCCUCAUAACUUAUAUGAGGUCAGAGCAGCCCUCGAAGGUCCUGGCCAGCAGCCGGUGGAUUCAGAGCGGGGAGCCCUCUCAGAGUUUUCCAUCCUUCAGCCAACAAGUGAAGACCUGCUGUCUACACCACUGGGGCCGAGGGAGUGAACUUGCAGCUCCAGAAGCAGCACACACACAGGAGGUGUUGCUGUGGACCAGGAGGACUGCACACACGUUCAGAGCAGGAGAUAAAGGGGUCGAGGAAGGCCUCCGGGAUGAAGGGCCUUGAGCAGGACCCUGAGAACACAUUGGAUUUAGGACCCUGGCUGAUAUACCUGCUGUGUGAGCCCCUCUCCAUGGCCCAAUCUCUCGCCCCGCCUGAUGUCCUGGUAUUACUGCUGUCAUCGUCACCACCAGCCCCUUCACACCCCCAACUUUUAGUGAG